rnacentral:rRNA from 1 species
UACGUAGGCAGCGAGCGUUAUCCGGAGUUACUGGGCGUAAAGAGUGCGUAGGCGGAUCUGUAAGUGGGUGGUGAAAGCGCCCGGCUAAACCGGGCGAGGUCCAUUCAGACUGCAGGUCUAGAGGCGGAUAGAGGGGUGCGGAAUUCCGGGUGUAGCGGUGAAAUGUGUAGAGAUCCGGAGGAACACCAGUGGUGCAAGCGGCGCCCUGGGUCCGAACUGACGCUGAAGCACGAAAGCGUGGGGAGCGAACGGG